rnacentral:rRNA from 1 species
AUGCAGUCGACGAGAAAGUUCCCUUCGGGGAGCGAGUAAAGUGGCGCACGGGUGAGUAACACGUAGGUAAUCUACCUUCGGGUGGGGAAUAACGCAGGGAAACUUGCGCUAACACCGCAUAAUGCAGCGGCACCACAUGGUGACAGUUGUUAAAGCGGGGGAUUUUAGGACCUCGCGCCUGAAGAGGAGCCUGCGGCGGAUUAGCUAGUUGGUAGGGUAACGGCUUACCAAGGCGACGAUCCGUAACCGGCCUGAGAGGGCGGUCGGUCACACUGACACUGACAUACGGGUCAGACUCCUACGGGAGGCAGCAGUCGGGAAUUUUGGGCAAUGGGCGAAAGCCUGACCCAGCAACGCCGCGUGAAGGAUGAAAUCCCUCGGGAUGUAAACUUCGCAAGAAUGGGAAGAAUUAGUAGGGGCUAAUACUCCCUAUGAUGACGGUACCAUUUGUAAGCUCCGGCUAACUCCGUGCCAGCAGCCGCGGUAAUACGGGGGGAGCAAGCGUUGUUCGGAUUUACUGGGCGUAAAGGGCGCGUAGGCGGUCAGCACAAGUCAGUUGUGAAAUCUCCGGGCUUAACUCGGAAAGGUCAACUGAUACUGUGCGACUAGAGUGCAGAAGGGGCAACUGGAAUUCUCGGUGUAGCGGUGAAAUGCGUAGAUAUCGAGAGGAACACCUGCGGCGAAGGCGGGUUGCUGGGCUGACACUGACGCUGAUGCGCGAAAGCCAGGGGAGCGAACGGGAUUAGAUACCCCGGUAGUCCUGGCCUUAAACGAUGGAUGCUUGGUGUCUGGAGUUUUAUAGUCUCCGGGUGCCGUAGCUAACGCGUUAAGCAUCCCGCCUGGGGAGUAC